UUCUGGGAAGUUUAGCUUUUAGAAUAUUUUACAUUUUGGAAUCUGCCCCAAGUCAUAAAAUCUGUCAAAAGUUCCGGGUCCUUUUCCUACAUUAAAUUAUGGAAUAGAAUUUUCUUUCCUUCUAUUUUCAUCCCCUUCCAUCUAGGGGUGGGCAUAAAAACCAUCAAACCGCAAAACCGAAUCGAACCGUAUGAAAAAAAACCGUGUUGACCGGAAAAGUCAACUUUGAGUCAAAAACCGAACCGGACCGUUUCAAACCGGUUUGGUUCCGGUUUCAAAUGAACUGGAACCAGCCGGAACCGAACCGAACCGUUUUAUUAAUAAUAAAUUAACUAAUUAUAUAUAUGCACACAUGUCAUGAUAUAAUAGGUUAGUUUGAAAAAUUAGUUUCACCAAAUUGCAAAGCAGUGAAUCCCACCCUCAUCCUCACUCACGGCCUCAUCAGUCAUCGCCCAUUUCACACUUUUAGACUUCCAUUCCUGUAGGCUUCUUCACUCUGCCGAGUCGCCGCCCACCUCACUCGCGGCUCUCUGCGACGACCCUUGUCAUCCCUCCUCCACGACAGCUUCGUCCUCCGUCCUCCAUCCUUGGUAUUUUCUCUCUCUUUUCUCAUAUUCUCUCUCUACACCCCUUCGUCAAGUCUCUAAAGCAUUCACUUCUUUGCAUGCUGCGGAGGACAUCUUGCUUCACUCACCUUCCCCACUUCAGUCCCCACCGCAUCGCAUCCGAAUUAUCAGGUGCUCCCAUGGCUUCCACGCAGAGUGAUAUCUUAGCUUCUCGCGAAAGGAUCUUCAAGAACGCUUUUCGUGAAAUUUUGGAGCGGAGGGCAUCUGCACACUCUUGUCUUCUACUGUUUGAUUAAUUAUCUUCUACAGUUCCAGGUUAGUUGAACUUAAUUGUACUUGAUUAAUUAUCUUGUCUCAUAUUUAGCAUAUUUAGUAGUCUGGAGAUGUAUUUGAAUGCAU